AUUUGAUGAUGUGGACAUCUAAUAAGUAAAGCAUUAAAACAAUCUCAAUAUUCAAAUAAAGAUUCUCUUGUAUGUUGUUUGAUUCUGCAUAUUUCUUUUAUCAUGAU